UAGAACAUGUUUGGGAAUGUUUUCGAGCAUUCGGUUACGGCACAAAAAAUGAUGCAAAACGGGUGCAUUUCGGCACCUAAAUGCACUAUUUUCGGGUAGCGAAACUCGGGUGGAUUUUUUUGCAACGAACGCAUCCAAUCUACUCAUUGGACCCUAGAACAUGUUUGGGAGUGUUUUCGAGCAUUCGGUUCCGGCACGAAAAACGCUGCAAAAAUGGUGCAUUUCGGCACCCGAAUGCACUAUUUCCGGGUAGUGAAACUCUGGUGGACCUUUUCGCAACGAAUGCACCCAAUCUACCUCAUUAGACCCUAGAACAUGUUUGGGAGUGUUUUCGAUCAUUCGUUACGGCAUGAAAACCGAUGCAAAACGGGUGCAUUUCGGCACCGGAACGCACUAUUUCGGGGUAGCGAAACUCGGGUGGAUUUUUUCGCAACGAACGCACCCAAUCUACCUCAUUAGACCCUAGAACAUGUUUGGGAAUGUUUUCGAGCAUUCGGUUACAGCACCAAAAAUGAUGCAAAACGGGUGCAUUUCGGCACCCAAACACACUAUUUCCGGGUAGCGAAACUCGGGUGGAUUUUUUCGCAACGAACGCAUCCAAUCUAAUCAUUGGACCCUAGAACAUGUUUGGGAGUGUUUUCGAGCAUUCGGUUCUGGCACGAAAAAUGAUGCAAAAAUGGUGCAUUUCGGCACCCGAAUGCACUAUUUCCGGGUAGUGAAACUCUGGUGGACCUUUUCGCAACGAAUGCAUCCAAUCUACCUCAUCAGACCCUAGAACAUGUUUGGGAGUGUUUUCGAGCAUUCGGUUCUGGCACGAAAAAUGAUGCUAAACGGGUGCAUUUCGGCACCCGAAUGCACUAUUUCCAGGUAGUGAAACUCUGGUAGACCUUUCCGCAACAAAUACACCCAAUCUACCUCAUUAGACCCUAGAACAUGCAUGAAAAGCGAUGCAGAACGGGUGCACUUCGGCACCCGAAUGCACUAUUUCCGCCUAGCGAAACUCGAGUGGAUUUUUUCACAACGAGCGUGUCCAACCUACCUCAUUAGACCCAAGAACAUGUUUGGGAAUGUUUUCGAGCAUUCGGUUACGGCACGAAAACGAUGCAAAACGGGUGCAUUUCGGCACCCGAAUGCAUAUUGCCGGGUAGCGAAACUCGGGUGGAUUUUUUCGCAACGAACACAUGCAAUCUUCCUAAUUAUACCCUAUAACAUGUUUGGGAGUGUUUUUGAGUAUUCGGUUCCGGCACGAAAAACGAUGCAAAACGGGUGCAUUUCGGCACCCGAAUGCACUAUUUCCGGGUAGCGAAACUCGGGUGGAUUUUCUCACAACGAAUGCAUCCAAUCUUCCUAAUUAUACCCUAGAACAUGUUUGGGAGUGUUUCUGAGCAUUCGGUUUCGGAACGAAAAAUGAUGCAAAACGGGUGCAUUUCGGCACCCGAAUGCAUAUUGCCGGGUAGCGAAACUCGGGUGGAUUUUUUCGCAACGAACGCAUGCAAUCUUCCUAAUUAUACCCUAGAACAUGUUUGGGAGUAUUUUUGAGCUUUCGGUUCCGGAAGGAAAAAUGAUGCAAAACGGGUGCAUUUCGGCACCCGAAUGCACUUUCUCCGUGUAGCGAAACUCGGGUGGAUUUUUUCGCAACGAACGCAUGCAAUCUUCCUAAUUAUACCCUAGAACAUGUUUGGGAGUGUUUUCGAGCAUUCGGUUCCGGAACGAAAAAUGAUGCAAAACGGGUGCAUUUCGACACCCGAAUGCACUUUUUCCGUGUAGCGAAACUCGGGUGGAUUUUUUCGCAACGAACGCAUGCAAUCUUCCUAAUUAUACCCUAGAACAUGUUUGGGAGUGUUUUUGGGCAUUCGGUUCCGGAACGAAAAAUGAUGCGAAACGGGUGCAUUUCGGCACCCGAAUGCAUAUUGCCGGGUAGCGAAACUCGGGUGGAUUUUUUCGCAACGAACGCAUGCAAUCUUCCUAAUUAUACCCUAGAACAUGUUUGGGAGUGUUUUUGAGCAUUCGGUUCCGGAACGAAAAAUGAUGCAAAACGGGUGCAUUUCGGCACCCGAAUGCAUAUUGCCGGGUAGCGAAACUCGGGUGGAUUUUUUCGCGACGAACGCAUGCUAUCUUCCUAAUUAGACCCUAGAACAUGUUUGGGAGUGUUUUUGAGCAUUCGGUUCCGGAACGAAAAAUGAUGCAAAAUGGGUGCAUUUCGGCACCCGAAUGCCCUUUCUCCGUGUAGUGAAAAUCGGGUGGAUUUUUUCGCAACGAACGCAUGCAAUCUUCCUAAUUAUACCCUAGAACAUGUUUGGGAGUGUUUUUGAGCAUUCGGUUCCGGAACGAAAAAUGAUGCAAAAUGGGUGCAUUUCGGCACCCGAAUGCACUUUUUCCGUGUAGCCAAGAUCAGGUGGAUUUUUUCGCAACGAACGCAUGCAGUCUUCCUAAUUAUACCCUAGAACAUGUUUGGGAGUGUUUUUGAGCAUUCGGUUCCGGAACGAAAAACGAUGCAAAACGGGUGCAUUUCAGCACCCGAAUGCACUUUUUCCGUGUAGCGAAACUCGGGUGGAUUUUUUCGCAACGAACGCAUGCAAUCUUCGUAAUUAUAUCCUAGAACAUGUUUGGGAGUGUUUUUGAGCAUUCGGUUCUGGAACGAAAAAUGAUGCAAAACGGGUGCAUUUCGGCAUCCGAAUGCACUAUUUCCGGGUAGCGAAACUUGGGUGGAUUUUUUCGCAACGAACGCACCCAAUCUACCUCAUUAGACCUUAGAACAUGUUUGGGAUUGUUUUCGAGCAUUCGGUUCCGUCACGAAAAAUGAUGCAAAACGAGUGGAUUUCGGCACCCGAAUGCACUAUUUUCGGGUAGCGAAACUCAGGUGGAUUUUUUCGCAACGAACGCAUCCAAUCUACCUAAUUAGACCCUAGAACAUGUUCAGAAGUGUUUCCGAGCAUUCGGUUCCGUCACGAAAAAUGAUGCAAAAAUAGUGGAUUUCGGCACCCAAAUCCACUAUUUCCAGGUAGCGAAACUCGUGUUAAUUUUCUCGCAACGAACGCAUCCAAUCUACCUCAUUAGACCGUAGAACAUGUUUGGGAGUGUUUUUGAGCAUUCGGUUUCGGCACGAAAAAUGAUGCAAAACGAGUGGAUUUCGGCACCCGAAUGCACUAUUUCCGGGUAGCGAAACUCGGGUGGAUUUUUUCGCAACGAACGCAUGCAAUCUUCCUAAUUAUACCCUAGAGCAUGUUUGGGAGUGUUUUUGAGCAUUCGGUUCCGGCACGAAAAAUGAUGCAAAACGGGUGCAUUUCAGCACCCGAAUGCACUAUUUCGGGGUAGCGAAACUCAGGUGGAUUUUUUCGCAACGAACGCAUGCAAUCUACCUAAUUAUACCCUAGAACAUGUUUGGGAGUGUUUUUGGGCAUUCGGUUCCGGCACGAAAAACGAUGCAAAACGGGAGCAUUUCGGCACCCAAACACACUAUUUCCGGGUAGCGAAACUCGGGUGGAUUUUUUCGCAACGAACGCAUGCAAUCUUCCUAAUUAUACCCUGGAACAUGUUUGGGAGUGUUUUUGAGCAUUCGGUUCCGGAACGAAAAAUGAUGCAAAACGGGUGCAUUUCGGCACCCGAAUGCACUUUCUCCGUGUAGCGAAAAUCGGGUGGAUUUUUUCGCAACGAACGCAUGCAAUCUUCCUAAUUAUACCCUAGAACAUGUUUGGGAGUGUUUUUGAGCAUUCGGUUCUGGAACGAAAAAUGAUGGAAAACGGGUGCAUUUCGGCACCCGAAUGCACUUUUUCCGUGUAGCGAAAAUCGGGUGGAUUUUUUUGCAACGAACGCAUGCAAUCUUCCUAAUUAUACCCUAGAGCAUGUUUGGGAGUGUUUUUGAGCAUUCGGUUCCGGAACGAAAAAUGAUGCAAAACGGGUGCAUUUCGGCACCCGAAUGCAUAUUGCCGGGUAGCGAAACUCGUGUGGAUUUUUUCGCAACGAACGCAUGCAAUCUUCCUAAUUAUACCCUAGAACAUGUUCAGAAGUGUUUCUGAGCAUUCGGUUCCGGCACGAAAAAUGAUGCAAAACGGGUGCAUUUCAGCACCCGAAUGCACUAUUUCGGGGUAGCGAAACUCAGGUGGAUUUUUUCGCAACGAACGCAUGCAAUCUACCUAAUUAUACCCUAGAACAUGUUUGGGAGUGUUUUUGGGCAUUCGGUUCCGGCACGAAAAACGAUGCAAAACGGGAGCAUUUCGGCACCCAAACACACUAUUUCCGGGUAGCGAAACUCGGGUGGAUUUUUUCGCAACGAACGCAUGCAAUCUUCCUAAUUAUACCCUGGAACAUGUUUGGGAGUGUUUUUGAGCAUUCGGUUCCGGAACGAAAAAUGAUGCAAAACGGGUGCAUUUCGGCACCCGAAUGCACUUUCUCCGUGUAGCGAAAAUCGGGUGGAUUUUUUCGCAACGAACGCAUGCAAUCUUCCUAAUUAUACCCUGGAACAUGUUUGGGAGUGUUUUUGAGCAUUCGGUUCCGGAAUGAAAAAUGAUGGAAAACGGGUGCAUUUCGGCACCCGAAUGCACUUUUUUCGUGUAGCGAAAAUCGGGUGGAUUUUUUUGCAACGAACGCAUGCAAUCUUCCUAAUUAUACCCUAGAGCAUGUUUGGGAGUGUUUUUGAGCAUUCGGUUCCGGAACGAAAAAUGAUGCAAAACGGGUGCAUUUCGGCACCCGAAUGCAUAUUGCCGGGUAGCGAAACUCGGGUGGAUUUUUUCGCAACGAACGCAUGCAAUCUUCCUAAUUAUACCCUAGAACAUGUUCAGAAGUGUUUCUGAGCAUUCGGUUCCGGCACGAAAAAUGAUGCAAAACGGGUGCAUUUCAGCACCCGAAUGCACUAUUUCUGGGUAGCGAAACUCGUGUGGAUUUUUUCGCAACGAACGCAUGCAAUCUUCCUAAUUAUACCCUAGAACAUGUUUGGAAAUGUUUUUGAGCAUUCGGUUCCGGCACGAAAAACGAUGCAAAACGGGUGCAAUACGGCACCCGAAUGCUAUAUUUCCGGGUAGCGAAAGUCGGGUGGAUUUUUUCGCAACGAACGCAUGCAAUCUUCCUAAUUAUACCCUAGAACAUGUUUGGGAGUGUUUUUAGGCAUUCGGUCUCGGCACGAAAAAUGAUGCAAAACGGGUGCAUUUCGACAUCCGAAUGCACUAUUUCCGGGUAGCGAAACUCGGGUGGAUUUUUUCGCAAUGAACGCACCCAAUCUACCUCAUUAGACCCUAGAACUUGUUUGGGAUUGUUUUCGAGCAUUCAGUUCCGUCACGAAAAAUGAUGCAAAACGAGUGGAUUUCGGCACCCGAAUGCACUAUUUGCGGGUAGCGAAACUCGGGUGGAUUUUUUCGCAACGAACGCAUGCAAUCUUCCUAAUUAUACCCUAGAACAUGUUUGGGAGUGUUUUUGAGCAUUCGGUUCCGGAACGAAAAAUGAUGCAAAACGGGUGCAUUUCGGCACCCGAAUGCAUAUUGCUGGGUAGCGAAACUCGGGUGGAUUUUUUCGCAACGAACGCAUGCAAUCUUCCUAAUUAUACCCUAGAACAUGUUUGGGAGUGUUUUUGAGCAUUCGGUUCCGGAACGAAAAAUGAUGCAAGACGGGUGCAUUUCGGCACCCGAAUGCAUUAUUUCCGGGUAGCGAAACUCGGGUGGAUUUUUUCGCAACGAACGCAUGCAAUCUUCCUAAUUAUACCCUAGAACAUGUUUGGAAAUGUUUUUGAGCAUUCGGUUCCGGCACAAAAAACGAUGCAAAACCGGUGCAAUACGGCACCCGAAUGCUAUAUUUCCGGGUAACGAAAGUCGGGUAGAUUUUUUCGCAACGAACGCAUGCAAUCUUCCUAAUUAUACCCUAGAACAUGUUCAGAAGUGUUUCCGAGCAUUCGGUUCCGUCACGAAAAAUGAUGCAAAAACAGUGGAUUUUGGCACCCAAAUCCACUAUUUCCAGGUAGCGAAACUCGUGUUCAUUUUCUCGCAACGAACGCAUCCAAUCUACCUCAUUAGACCGUAGAACAUGUUUGGAAGUGUCUUCGAGCAUUCGGUUUCGGCACGAAAAAUGAUGCAAAACGAGUGGAUUUCGGCACCCGAAUGCACUAUUUCCGGGUAGCGAAACUCGGGUGGAUUUUUUCGCAACGAACGCAUGCAAUCUUCGUAAUUAUACCCUAGAACAUGUUUGGGAGUGUUUUUGAGCAUUCGGUUCCGGCACGAAAAAUGAUGCAAAACGGGUGCAUUUCGGCACCCGAAUGCUAUAUUUCCGGGUAGCGAAACUCGGGUGGAUUUUUCCACAAUGAAUGCAUCCAAUCUUCCUAAUUAUACACUAAAACAUUUUUGGGAGUGUUUUUGGGCAUUCAGUUCCGGCACGAAAAAUGAUGCAAAACGGGUGCAUUUCGGCACCCGAAUGCACUAUUUCCGGGUAGCGAAACUCGGGUGGAUUUUUCCGCAACGAACGCAUCGAAUCUUCCUAAUUAUACACUAAAACAUGUUUGGGAGUGUUUUUGGGCAUUCGGUUCCGGCACGAAAAAUGAUGCGAAACGGGUGCAUUUCGACACCCGAAUGCACUAUUUUCGGGUAGCGAAACUUGGGUGGAUUUUUUCGCAACGAACGCAUGCAAUCUUCGUAAUUAGACCCUAGAACAUGUUUGGGAGUGUUUUUGAGCAUUCGGUUCCGGAACGAAAAAUGAUGCAAAACGGGUGCAUUUCGGCACCCGAAUGCACUUUUUCCGUGUAGCGAAAAUCGGGUGGAUUUUUUCGCAACGAACGCAUGCAAUCUUCCUAAUUAUACCCUAGAACAUGUUUGGGAGUGUUUUUGAGCAUUCAGUUCCGGAACGAAAAAUGAUGCAAAACGGGUGCAUUUCGGCACCCGAAUGCAUAUUGCCGGGUAGCGAAACUCGGGUGGAUUUUUUCGCAACGAACGCAUGCAAUCUUCGUAAUUAUACCCUAGAACAUGUUUGGGAGUGUUUUUGAGCAUUCGGUUCCGGAACGAAAAAUGAUGCAAAACGGGUGCAUUUCGGCACCCGAAUGCUAUAUUUCCGGGUAGCGAAACUCGGGUGGAUUUUUCCACAACGAAUGCAUCCAAUCUUCCUAAUUAUACACUAAAACAUUUUUGGGAGUGUUUUUGGGCAUUCAGUUCCGGCACGAAAAAUGAUGCAAAACGGGUGCAUUUCGGCACCCGAAUGCACUAUUUCCGGGUAGCGAAACUCGGGUGGAUUUUUUCGCAACGAACGCAUGCAAUCUUCGUAAUUAUACCCUAGAAAAUGUUUGGGAGUGUUUUUGAGCAUUCGGUUCCGGAACGAAAAAUGAUGCAAAACGGGUGCAUUUCGGCACCCGAAUGCACUAUUUCUGGGUAGCGAAACUCGUGUGGAUUUUUUCGCAACGAACGCAUGCAAUCUUCCUAAUUAUACCCUAGAACAUGUUUGGAAAUGUUUUUGAGCAUUCGGUUCCGGCACGAAAAACGAUGCAAAACGGGUGCAAUACGGCACCCGAAUGCUAUAUUUCCGGGUAGCGAAAGUCGGGUGGAUUUUUUCGCAACGAACGCAUGCAAUCUUCCUAAUUAUACCCUAGAACAUGUUUGGGAGUGUUUUUGGGCAUUCGGUCUCGGCACGAAAAAUGAUGCAAAACGGGUGCAUUUCGACAUCCGAAUGCACUAUUUCCGGGUAGCGAAACUCGGGUGGAUUUUUUCGCAACGAACGCACCCAAUCUACCUCAUUAGACCCUAGAACUUGUUUGGGAUUGUUUUCGAGCAUUCAGUUCCGUCACGAAAAAUGAUGCAAAACGAGUGGAUUUCGGCACCCGAAUGCACUAUUUGCGGGUAGCGAAACUCGGGUGGAUUUUUUCGCAACGAACGCAUGCAAUCUUCCUAAUUAUACCCUAGAACAUGUUUGGGAGUGUUUUUGAGCAUUCGGUUCCGGAACGAAAAAUGAUGCAAAACGGGUGCAUUUCGGCACCCGAAUGCAUAUUGCUGGGUAGCGAAAGUCGGGUGGAUUUUUUCGCAACGAACGCAUGCAAUCUUCCUAAUUAUACCCUAGAACAUGUUUGGGAGUGUUUUUGAGCAUUCGGUUCCGGAACGAAAAAUGAUGCAAAACGGGUGCAUUUCGGCACCCGAAUGCAUUAUUUCCGGGUAACGAAACUCGGGUGGAUUUUUUCGCAACGAACGCAUGCAAUCUUCCUAAUUAUACCCUAGAACAUGUUUGGAAAUGUUUUUGAGCAUUCGGUUCCGGCACAAAAAACGAUGCAAAACCGGUGCAAUACGGCACCCGAAUGCUAUAGUUCCGGGUAACGAAAGUCGGGUAGAUUUUUUCGCAACGAACGCAUGGAAUCUUCCUAAUUAUACCCUAGAACAUGUUCAGAAGUGGUUCCGAGCAUUCGGUUCCGUCACGAAAAAUGAUGCAAAAACAGUGGAUUUUGGCACCCAAAUCCACUAUUUCCAGGUAGCGAAACUCGUGUUCAUUUUCUCGCAACGAACGCAUCCAAUCUACCUCAUUAGACCGUAGAACAUGUUUGGAAGUGUCUUCGAGCAUUCGGUUUCGGCACGAAAAAUGAUGCAAAACGAGUGGAUUUCGGCACCCGAAUGCACUAUUUCCGGGUAGCGAAACUCGGGUGGAUUUUUUCGCAACGAACGCAUGCAAUCUUCGUAAUUAUACCCUAGAACAUGUUUGGGAGUGUUUUUGAGCAUUCGGUUCCGGCACGAAAAAUGAUGCAAAACGGGUGCAUUUCGGCACCCGAAUGCUAUAUUUCCGGGUAGCGAAACUCGGGUGGAUUUUUCCACAACGAAUGCAUCCAAUCUUCCUAAUUAUACACUAAAACAUUUUUGGGAGUGUUUUUGGGCAUUCAGUUCCGGCACGAAAAAUGAUGCAAAACGGGUGCAUUUCGGCACCCGAAUGCACUAUUUCCGGGUAGCGAAACUCGGGUGGAUUUUUUCGCAACGAACGCAUGCAAUCUUCGUAAUUAUACCCUAGAAAAUGUUUGGGAGUGUUUUUGAGCAUUCGGUUCCGGAACGAAAAAUGAUGCAAAACGGGUGCAUUUCGGCACCCGAAUGCACUAUUUCUGGGUAGCGAAACUCGUGUGGAUUUUUUCGCAACGAACGCAUGCAAUCUUCCUAAUUAUACCCUAGAACAUGUUUGGAAAUGUUUUUGAGCAUUCGGUUCCGGCACGAAAAACGAUGCAAAACGGGUGCAAUACGGCACCCGAAUGCUAUAUUUCCGGGUAGCGAAAGUCGGGUGGAUUUUUUCGCAACGAACGCAUGCAAUCUUCCUAAUUAUACCCUAGAACAUGUUUGGGAGUGUUUUUGGGCAUUCGGUCUCGGCACGAAAAAUGAUGCAAAACGGGUGCAUUUCGACAUCCGAAUGCACUAUUUCCGGGUAGCGAAACUCGGGUGGAUUUUUUCGCAACGAACGCACCCAAUCUACCUCAUUAGACCCUAGAACUUGUUUGGGAUUGUUUUCGAGCAUUCAGUUCCGUCACGAAAAAUGAUGCAAAACGAGUGGAUUUCGGCACCCGAAUGCACUAUUUGCGGGUAGCGAAACUCGGGUGGAUUUUUUCGCAACGAACGCAUGCAAUCUUCGUAAUUAUACCCUAGAAAAUGUUUGGGAGUGUUUUUGAGCAUUCGGUUCCGGAACGAAAAAUGAUGCAAAACGGGUGCAUUUCGGCACCCGAAUGCAUUAUUUCCGGGUAACGAAACUCGGGUGGAUUUUUUCGCAACGAACGCAUGCAAUCUUCCUAAUUAUACCCUAGAACAUGUUUGGAAAUGUUUUUUAGGAUUCGGUUCCGGCACAAAAAACGAUGCAAAACCGGUGCAAUACGGCACCCGAAUGCUAUAGUUCCGGGUAACAAAAGUCGGGUAGAUUUUUUCGCAACGAACGCAUGGAAUCUUCCUAAUUAUACCCUAGAACAUGUUCAGAAGUGUUUCCGAGCAUUCGGUUCCGUCACGAAAAAUGAUGCAAAAACAGUGGAUUUUGGCACCCAAAUCCACUAUUUCCAGGUAGCGAAACUCGUGUUCAUUUUCUCGCAACGAACGCAUCCAAUCUACCUCAUUAGACCGUAGAACAUGUUUGGAAGUGUCUUCGAGCAUUCGGUUUCGGCACGAAAAAUGAUGCAAAACGAGUGGAUUUCGGCACCCGAAUGCACUAUUUCCGGGUAGCGAAACUCGGGUGGAUUUUUUCGCAACGAACGCAUGCAAUCUUCGUAAUUAUACCCUAGAACAUGUUUGGGAGUGUUUUUGAGCAUUCGGUUCCGGCACGAAAAAUGAUGCAAAACGGGUGCAUUUCGGCACCCGAAUGCUAUAUUUCCGGGUAGCGAAACUCGGGUGGAUUUUUCCACAACGAAUGCAUCCAAUCUUCCUAAUUAUACACUAAAACAUUUUGGGAGUGUUUUUGGGCAUUCAGUUCUGGCACGAAAAAUGAUGCAAAACGGGUGCAUUUCGGCACCCGAAUGCACUAUUUCCGGGUAGCGAAACUCGGGUGGAUUUUUCCGCAACGAACGCAUCCAAUCUUCCUAAUUAUACACUAAAACAUGUUUGGGAGUGUUUUUGGGCAUUCGGUUCCGGCACGAAAAAUGAUGCAAAACGGGUGCAUUUCGACACCCGAAUGCACUAUUUUCGGGUAGCGAAACUCGGGUGGAUUUUUUCGCAACGAACGCAUGCAAUCUUCGUAAUUAGACCCUAGAACAUGUUUGGGAGUGUUUUUGAGCAUUCGGUUCCGGAACGAAAAAUGAUGCAAAACGGGUGCAUUUCGGCACCCGAAUGCACUUUUUCCGUGUAGCGAAAAUCGGGUGGAUUUUUUCGCAACGAACGCAUGCAAUCUUCCUAAUUAUACCCUAGAACAUGUUUGGGAGUGUUUUUGGGCAUUCGGUCUCGGCACGAAAAAUGAUGCAAAACGGGUGCAUUUCGACAUCCGAAUGCACUAUUUCCGGGUAGCGAAACUCGGGUGGAUUUUUUUGCAACGAACGCAUGCAAUCUUCCUAAUUAUACCCUAGAACAUGUUUGGAAAUGUUUUUGAGCAUUCGGUUCCGGCACGAAAAACGAUGCAAAACGGGUGCAAUUCGGCACCCGAAUGCUAUAUUUCCGGGUAGCGAAAGUCGGGUGGAUUUUUUCGCAACGAACGCAUGCAAUCUUCCUAAUUAUACCCUAGAACAUGUUUGGGAGUGUUUUUGGGCAUUCGGUUCCGGAACGAAAAAUGAUGCAAAACGGGUGCAUUUCGGCACCCGAAUGCACUAUUUCUGGGUAGCGAAACUCGUGUGGAUUUUUUCGCAACGAACGCAUGCAAUCUUCCUAAUUAUACCCUAGAACAUGUUUGGAAAUGUUUUUGAGCAUUCGGUUCCGGCACGAAAAACGAUGCAAAACGGGUGGAAUACGGCACCCGAAUGCUAUAUUUCCGGGUAGCGAAAGUCGGGUGGAUUUUUUCGCAACGAACGCAUGCAAUCUUCCUAAUUAUACCCUAGAACAUGUUUGGGAGUGUUUUUGGGCAUUCGGUCUCGGCACGAAAAAUGAUGCAAAACGGGUGCAUUUCGACAUCCGAAUGCACUAUUUCCGGGUAGCGAAACUCGGGUGGAUUUUUUCGCAACGAACGCACCCAAUCUACCUCAUUAGACCCUAGAACUUGUUUGGGAUUGUUUUCGAGCAUUCAGUUCCGUCACGAAAAAUGAUGCAAAACGAGUGGAUUUCGGCACCCGAAUGCACUAUUUGCGGGUAGCGAAACUCGGGUGGAUUUUUUCGCAACGAACGCAUGCAAUCUUCCUAAUUAUACCCUAGAACAUGUUUGGGAGUGUUUUUGAGCAUUCGGUUCCGGAACGAAAAAUGAUGCAAAACGGGUGCAUUUCGGCACCCGAAUGCAUAUUGCUGGGUAGCGAAAGUCGGGUGGAUUUUUUCGCAACGAACGCAUGCAAUCUUCCUAAUUAUACCCUAGAACAUGUUUGGGAGUGUUUUUGAGCAUUCGGUUCCGGAACGAAAAAUGGUGCAAAACGGGUGCAUUUCGGCACCCGAAUGCAUAUUGCUGGGUAGCGAAAGUCGGGUAGAUUUUUUCGCAACGAACGCAUGGAAUCUUCCUAAUUAUACCCUAGAACAUGUUCAGAAGUGUUUCCGAGCAUUCGGUUCCGUCACGAAAAAUGAUGCAAAAACAGUGGAUUUUGGCACCCAAAUCCACUAUUUCCAGGUAGCGAAACUCGUGUUCAUUUUCUCGCAACGAACGCAUCCAAUCUACCUCAUUAGACCGUAGAACAUGUUUGGAAGUGUCUUCGAGCAUUCGGUUUCGGCACGAAAAAUGAUGCAAAACGAGUGGAUUUCGGCACCCGAAUGCACUAUUUCCGGGUAGCGAAACUCGGGUGGAUUUUUUCGCAACGAACGCAUGCAAUCUUCGUAAUUAUACCCUAGAACAUGUUUGGGAGUGUUUUUGAGCAUUCGGUUCCGGCACGAAAAAUGAUGCAAAACGGGUGCAUUUCGGCACCCGAAUGCUAUAUUUCCGGGUAGCGAAACUCGGGUGGAUUUUUCCACAACGAAUGCAUCCAAUCUUCCUAAUUAUACACUAAAACAUUUUUGGGAGUGUUUUUGGGCAUUCAGUUCCGGCACGAAAAAUGAUGCAAAACGGGUGCAUUUCGGCACCCGAAUGCACUAUUUCCGGGUAGCGAAACUCGGGUGGAUUUUUCCGCAACGAACGCAUCGAAUCUUCCUAAUUAUACACUAAAACAUGUUUGGGAGUGUUUUUGGGCAUUCGGUUCCGGCACGAAAAAUGAUGCAAAACGGGUGCAUUUCGACACCCGAAUGCACUAUUUUCGGGUAGCGAAACUCGGGUGGAUUUUUUCGCAACGAACGCAUGCAAUCUUCGUAAUUAGACCCUAGAACAUGUUUGGGAGUGUUUUUGAGCAUUCGGUUCCGGAACGAAAAAUGAUGCAAAACGGGUGCAUUUCGGCACCCGAAUGCACUUUUUCCGUGUAGCGAAAAUCGGGUGGAUUUUUUCGCAACGAACGCAUGCAAUCUUCCUAAUUAUACCCUAGAACAUGUUUGGGAGUGUUUUUGAGCAUUCGGUUCCGGAACGAAAAAUGAUGCAAAACGGGUGCAUUUCGGCACCCGAAUGCAUAUUGCCGGGUAGCGAAACUCGGGUGGAUUUUUUCGCAACGAACGCAUGCAAUCUUCGUAAUUAUACCCUAGAACAUGUUUGGGAGUGUUUUUGAGCAUUCGGUUCCGGAACGAAAAAUGAUGCAAAACGGGUGCAUUUCGGCACCCGAAUGCAUUAUUUCCGGGUAGCGAAACUCGGGUGGAUUUUUUCGCAACGAACGCAUGCAAUCUUCCUAAUUAUACACUAGAACAUGUUUGGAAAUGUUUUUGAGCAUUCGGUUCCGGCACAAAAAACGAUGCAAAACGGGUGCAAUACGGCACCCGAAUGCUAUAUUUCCGGGUAACGAAAGUCGGGUAGAUUUUUUCGCAACGAACGCAUGCAAUCUUCCUAAUUAUACCCUAGAACAUGUUCAGAAGUGUUUCCGAGCAUUCGGUUCCGUCACGAAAAAUGAUGCAAAAACAGUGGAUUUUGGCACCCAAAUCCACUCUUUCCAGGUAGCGAAACUCGUGUUAAUCUUCUCGCAACGAACGCAUCCAAUCUACCUCAUUAGACCGUAGAACAUGUUUAGAAGUGUCUUCGAGCAUUCGGUUUCGGCACGAAAAAUGAUGCAAAACGAGUGGAUUUCGGCACCCGAAUGCACUAUUUCCGGGUAGCGAAACUCGGGUGGAUUUUUUGGCAACGAACGCAUGCAAUCUUCCUAAUUAUACCCUAGAACAUGUUUGGGAGUGUUUUUGGGCAUUCAGUUUCGGUCGAAAAAUGAUGCAAAACUUCGACACCCGAAUGCACUAUUUCCGGGUAGCGAAACUCGGGUGGAUUUUUUCGCAACGAACGCAUGCAAUCUUCCUAAUUAUACCCUAGAACAUGUUUGGGAGUGUUUUUGAGCAUUCGGUUCCGGAACGAAAAAUGAUGCAAAACGGGUGCAUUUCGGCACCCGAAUGCAUAUUGCUGGGUAGCGAAAGUCGGGUAGAUUUUUUCGCAACGAACGCAUGGAAUCUUCCUAAUUAUACCCUAGAACAUGUUCAGAAGUGUUUCCGAGCAUUCGGUUCCGUCACGAAAAAUGAUGCAAAAACAGUGGAUUUUGGCACCCAAAUCCACUAUUUCCAGGUAGCGAAACUCGUGUUCAUUUUCUCGCAACGAACGCAUCCAAUCUACCUCAUUAGACCGUAGAACAUGUUUGGAAGUGUCUUCGAGCAUUCGGUUUCGGCACGAAAAAUGAUGCAAAACGAGUGGAUUUCGGCACCCGAAUGCACUAUUUCCGGGUAGCGAAACUCGGUGGAUUUUUUCGCAACGAACGCAUGCAAUCUUCGUAAUUAUACCCUAGAACAUGUUUGGGAGUGUUUUUGAGCAUUCGGUUCCGGCACGAAAAAUGAUGCAAAACGGGUGCAUUUCGGCACCCGAAUGCUAUAUUUCCGGGUAGCGAAACUCGGGUGGAUUUUUCCACAACGAAUGCAUCCAAUCUUCCUAAUUAUACACUAAAACAUGUUUGGGAGUGUUUUUGGGCAUUCAGUUCCGGCACGAAAAAUGAUGCAAAACGGGUGCAUUUCGGCACCCGAAUGCACUAUUUCCGGGUAGCGAAACUCGGGUGGAUUUUUCCGCAACGAACGCAUCGAAUCUUCCUAAUUAUACACUAAAACAUGUUUGGGAGUGUUUUUGGGCAUUCGGUUCCGGCACGAAAAAUGAUGCAAAACGGGUGCAUUUCGACACCCGAAUGCACUAUUUUCGGGUAGCGAAACUCGGGUGGAUUUUUUCGCAACGAACGCAUGCAAUCUUCGUAAUUAGACCCUAGAACAUGUUUGGGAGUGUUUUUGAGCAUUCGGUUCCGGAACGAAAAAUGAUGCAAAACGGGUGCAUUUCGGCACCCGAAUGCACUUUUUCCGUGUAGCGAAAAUCGGGUGGAUUUUUUCGCAACGAACGCAUGCAAUCUUCCUAAUUAUACCCUAGAACAUGUUUGGGAGUGUUUUUGAGCAUUCGGUUCCGGAACGAAAAAUGAUGCAAAACGGGUGCAUUUCGGCACCCGAAUGCAUAUUGCCGGGUAGCGAAACUCGGGUGGAUUUUUUCGCAACGAACGCAUGCAAUCUUCGUAAUUAUACCCUAGAACAUGUUUGGGAGUGUUUUUGAGCAUUCGGUUCCGGAACGAAAAAUGAUGCAAAACGGGUGCAUUUCGGCACCCGAAUGCAUUAUUUCCG
rnacentral:lncRNA from 1 species